AAAGAAAAGGGUGAAAAGAACAAAGUUUUGUCCAUCUUUGUUCAUCAUAGCUGAAAGUUAGAGAAGAGAAAGGAGAGGAGAAAGCUCUUGAGUAUUUGGUCAUUAGGAGGAGGAAAAUUGAAGGCGGUUCGUGUGUGGAUCUCGUCAACAUAUCGUCGCAAACAGGAAAUCCCCAACCAUAGUGGGCUUGGAGCUGUGAGGGAAUUCGGAGUGGCCACCCGUUCUGAAAGUUUGAUUUUCUUCUGGUGAACUGGACAUCCUUUUAAUUACGUUUGUGGUUUUGGGCUUUUAAAUGUAAUAAGGCCGCUUAUUUAUUUUUGGUGGUUUUUAAUAUGUAUUAGUAAGAUAGGUAAUACUUAUUUUAA